rnacentral:rRNA from 1 species
UACGGGGGGGGCAAGCGCUGUUCGGAAUUACUGGGCGUAAAGGGUUCGUAGGUGGCCAACUAAGUCAGACGUGAAAUCCCUCAGCUUAACUGGGGAACUGCGUCUGAGACUGGAUGGCUUGAGUGCAGGAGAGGAACGCGGAAUUCCAGGUGUAGCGGUGAAAUGCGUAGAUAUCUGGAGGAACACCGGUGGCGAAGGCGGCGUUCUGGACUGCAACUGACACUGAUGAACGAAAGCCAGGGGAGCAAACGGG